rnacentral:misc_RNA from 1 species
GGGGUUGCCACCUGAGAUCCAAAAUAGGUUAUUUGAGUUAUUUGUCAGCAUUCUUGAUCUUUUAGUUCAGAAUGCACGUCUUGAAGGACAUUUAGACUCUGGAAUUGUUGAAGUGAAAGCUACCACUGUUGAACUACAAGGGACGCCAAAGACUGUUCAUGUUGACAACUUGUCUGGUGCUUCAACCAUAUUGUUCACUUUUACAUUGGACCGUGGAUUGAUGUGGGAGUGUGCAUAUGCGUUGCUUGAGGAGAAGCAAAAGGAUGAGUCUAGCUCAACUUAUAAUGGAUUCUAUGAAUCCAAACGAGAAUGGUUGGGAAGACGACAUUUUUUGUUAGCAUUUGAAGGUUCUGCUUCAGGAAUGUAUAAGGUAUUUCGUCCUACUGUUGGAGAGGCCCUAAGGGAGAUGCCACUUGUAGAAUUGAAAGACAAGUACCGGAAACUAUCAUCCUUAGAAAAGGCUCGUCGUGGAUGGGAAGACGAAUACGAAGUUUCAUUGAAACAGUGCAUGCAUGGCCCAAAAUGUAAGCUAGGCAGUUUCUGCACAGUUGGUCGAAGAGUACAGGAAGUGAAUGUAUUAGGUGGGCUUAUACUUCCUGUGUGGGGAACUGUUGAGAAGGCGCUCUCUAAGCAAGCUCGCCAAAGCCAUCGAAGAAUCCGCAUUGUACAGAUUGUAACAACUACUGACAAUCAACGGAUUGUAGGGUUGCUUAUCCCAAAUGCAGCAGUAGAAGCAGUGCUUCAAGAUUUGGCAUGGGUUCAAGAUGUUGAUGAAUGAAAGAAGUGUAAUUAAAAUUGUGUCAAGAAUAUAUGAUUACAAAAGUUUCUGGAAUAGCCUGGCAAGAUGCAGUUUCAGUAAGAAGCUAGCUCCCCCUGCAUUUUAUGGUUGUAGAGAAGCAGUCUUGGUUACAAAAUCCGUUGAAUGAGAAUGAGCACCAUAGAGUACCUUUCAAAAUUCUUUUUUGCAUCAUAGUUUUUAGAUAUCGAUUCCUUGUAAAUCAGAUUUAAGAAAGAUUUUUUUUUUUUCUUAAUCAAUUUAGUGGAGUGAUUAUUUGAAUUUUG